rnacentral:rRNA from 1 species
AUUGAACGCUGGCGGCAGGCCUAACACAUGCAAGUCGAACGGAUGGCGGACGGGUGAGUAAUGUCUGGGAAACUGCCUGAUGGAGGGGGAUAACUACUGGAAACGGUAGCUAAUACCGCAUACCAUCAGAUGUGCCCACGUGGGAUUAGCUAGUGGGUGGGGUAACGGCUCACCAAGGCGACGAUCCCUAGCUGGUCUGAGAGGAUGACCAGCCACACUGGAACUGAGACACGGCCCAGACUCCUACGGGAGGCAGCAGUGGGGAAUAUUGCACAAUGGGCGCAAGCCUGAUGCAGCCAUGCCGCGUGUGUGAAGAAGGCCUUCGGAUUGUAAAGUACUGUCAGCGGGGAGGCGUUACCCGCAGAAGAAGCACCGGCUAACUCCGUGCCAGCAGCCGCGGUAAUUC